CGGGACGUGGCGCAGCUUGGUAGCGCGCAGCGUUCGGGACGAGGAGGUCGCCGGUUCAAAUCCGGCCGUCCCGA
rnacentral:tRNA from 1 species